rnacentral:rRNA from 1 species
AUUGAACGCUGGCGGCAGGCCUAACACAUGCAAGUCGAGCGGAUGAAGGGAGCUUGCUCCUGGAUUCAGCGGCGGACGGGUGAGUAAUGCCUAGGAAUCUGCCUGGUAGUGGGGGAUAACGUCCGGAAACGGGCGCUAAUACCGCAUACGUCCUGAGGGAGAAAGUGGGGGAUCUUCGGACCUCACGCUAUCAGAUGAGCCUAGGUCGGAUUAGCUAGUUGGUGGGGUAAAGGCCUACCAAGGCGACGAUCCGUAACUGGUCUGAGAGGAUGAUCAGUCACACUGGAACUGAGACAGGGUCCAGACUCCUACGGGAGGCCGCAGUGGGGAAUAUUGGACGAUGGGCGAGAGCCUGAUCCAGCCAUGCCGCGUGUGUGAAGAAGGUCUUCGGAUUGUAAAGCACUUUAAGUUGGGAGGAAGGGAAGUAAGUUAAUACCUUACUGUUUUGACGUUACCAACAGAAUAAGCACCGGCUAACUUCGUG